rnacentral:rRNA from 1 species
GACGAACGCUGGCGGCGCGCCUAACACAUGCAAGUCGAACGGAGCUGAGAGAAGCUUGCUUUUCUUAGCUUAGUGGCGAACGGGUGAGUAACGCGUGAGUAACCUGCCCUGGAGUGGGGGACAACAGUUGGAAACGACUGCUAAUACCGCAUAAGCCCACGAUCCGGCAUCGGAUUGAGGGAAAAGGAUUUAUUCGCUUCAGGAUGGACUCGCGUCCAAUUAGCUAGUUGGUGCGGUAACGGCCCACCAAGGCGACGAUUGGUAGCCGGACUGAGAGGUUGAACGGCCACAUUGGGACUGAGACACGGCCCAGACUCCUACGGGAGGCAGCAGUGGGGGAUAUUGCACAAUGGGGGAAACCCUGAUGCAGCGACGCCGCGUGGAGGAAGAAGGUUUUCGGAUUGUAAACUCCUGUCGUUAGGGACGAUAAUGACGGUACCUAACAAGAAAGCACCGGCUAACUACGUG